GACUAAUUCUUUUUGGAACUAUCUUCUUAUAGUUGGUGUGUCUAAAGCAGAUGCCUGCCAGGCUGGGUCUGAGGGCUCGGCCACCAACCUCGAGGCCGAGCCCAUCCUGUGACGGCCGCCAGCCAGCUGGCCGCACCUGCUCGCCCUCGGGGAGUCUGGUGUCCAGGACUGUGGCUCUGCUAACUGGCUGCUGUUUGUCCAGUGGUGAGGAGAGCUUCCAGGGAGUUCUCCAGCCACUCGCCAUCUUGGUCUUAGAUGUAAACAUUGUCACGGCCGUUUCAAGAGAGAUGAAUGAUCUGCUGACGGCCCCACGCGUCCUCAGGAGGUGACGCACCUCAGAGACGUCCAAUGGUCUCGUUUCCCGCACCGCCGGGGAAACCCACGCCCAGGCGUGGGCUGGUCGGGCCCAGGCCCAGGUCGGGGGCGCGGAGACGUGCUCGCCGAGAAGGCGGGCCUGCCUGUGCCGCAGAAAGAGGGAAUCUGCGCAACGUGCGUGUGCCAGGUGCCUCGCGGCCCUGUCUCCAUGCUCCGCGGGGCUGCGAGGCGAGACCGCAAGCUGCGCUCCGCAGGAGAGAAAUCAGGCAGGUUUGCUGCAGCCCAGCUGGUCACCAGGACGGCCGGCCGCCCUGGCGCUGCCCACACCGGGGCGGUGCUCUUCCCCAGGGGAGACCUGCUGCGGGUGCGGUAUUUCACGCAUGAUCCGGAGCUUCAGGCCAGCCCAGCCCGCACCCCAUGGCCCCCCAGGUCGCUGCCGUCCCGAGGCUGCUGGCCCUGCUGGUUCACGCCGCCCUGUCCCAGUGGCUUCACCAGGCGGAGCAGCACAGGGCGCGCGGCUGGCCGGUCCCGGGCUAAGGCGCCCCUCUCCCCUCACGCCACCGCCGCGACGACAGCAUCCCCUUGAUGGAGCCAGGCCGGCGGCUCUGUCAGAGACACGUGGAAGUAUCGGUACCAGGAGGACUGGCCAAUUAUACGCCACAUCUGAAUUUCUUAUAUUUUCAAAGUGUUUUACACUAAUUACUUGGUCCUGUUAGCUCUAAGGAUUAGUAGCUUCCCUAACAAGACACGGUGACAUUAAGUGACUUAGCUAAUUAUGUAAAACACGGAGAGGGUGACGAGAAGGCUGGCGCCGCCUGGCAUGGGCCUGCUCUGCCAGGCGGAGGCGCCCUCCUGCCUCUGUUUUCCUGGGUCCUGGGGAGCGAGGAAUGGGACACAAGGCACCCACUGCCCACCCAGGGCUCCCUGGGCCUGUCCUCCUCCCGGUCUCACUCCUGCCGGAAAGCCUGUCCCUCCCCUGACAGCCCCCUGCCUCGCGGGUGCCACACCACGCUCAGGGACAAAGGAGACUCAGAGGGGCAGGUGUCCCCAGGCCGUGGGGCCGAGGAGACCCCUAGAGGGUGCGGGGCUGCGCGACCUGGAGGGGCUCCCGCCGGACACGGUCAGCGGUGCUGAGGCCUGCCGUGUCCACUCUUGGCACAGGGCUGAGGACGGCUGUGCCCUGCUUUCCUGACCAGUGACCAGGUGAAACCCACCAGGAACUGUCGCCCCCACGUCCCGGGCUGCGGCUGGGGUGUCUGCCCUCCCCCUGCCCAACCACUGCCACUUCCCUGAGGGUCCCUGGCUUCCUCUCCCAAGGGCCGGAGCCCCGUGCUCUCCUCUGCUCUAAGACGUCUGGCUGCUCCUUCCACUUGAAAUGCCCUCUAUGUCCUGUCCAGCACUAACAGUGCAGCUUAAGCCCCACCUCCUCCAGGAAGCCCCUCUUGAUUUUCUGUACUGGAGAGCCGCACCCCUAGCUGAUCAGGAAUGCACACUUGUGUCACACAGCCUGGCUCGUCAGAGACUGCCCACACUGCUCCUACGGCCUAGCUGCCCUGCAGGUGGACAGGGGAUUAACAGACGGCGGGCUGGGCAGUGACGUGACUCACGAGAUCAGACGGCACUUAGCAGCAUCGUUCCUGCUCUAUCUGCCAGGGAGCCGUCUUCGUCAGGAAAACAGGUGUGAAGUACAAACACAAACACUUCUCCAUCGCAAACAUUUAGGAUACACGGCUAAGCACACACAAAAAGGCUACAACACACUCAGCACUCCUCCCGUUGGGAUAACCAUGGCUGCACUUUGCGCUACAGAUGCUCUUUUUAAAAAAAUUACUUAGUAUAGAUAUGUAUGUGUGUACAGAUGUGUUUAUAUGUAAACAUGUAUCUUUAAGACAGAAUCAUGAUUAUAUUCUUUUCUGAUUAUAUAAUAAAUACAUACAUUUUACAAAAGUGUAAAAACACCAGAAAGCAACACAGACCCCCUCCCCCGACAGACGCGUGUGCAUGUGGGUGCAUGUGCGCGCGCACACACACACACACACACGCACACACAGGAAUUCUCCCCAGCUCAUUCUGCCAAGAUAUCUCUGUGUAAAUAUUUUGACGGAUUCUCUUCCACAAUUUUGCACUUGUUUGCACAAUUAAAAAUAUGUUUCAGAAAACAGCACGAUGAGACCUGAUGUUUUAUCACAUGGCUCUAUCACUCAGCAGGGGUUCCAGGCCCUCUUCUGCACGUCAGUCAACACAGAUGGGUGUUACCACUUUUAGGGGCAGACUGUCUGACCUUGUACAGACGUAACCGCGGCUUCCUUGGCCAGCCCGCCCCCGCCCCGGGACAUCCCGGGGCCUCCCACGUAGCCUUGUCACACACGGCGGUGCAACAUGUAUCCUGGCUGCUGGAGCCCUGGAACUGCAUGAAAAUCUCCCUCCAGGGGAAGCUCCUAAAGGCGGGCCAGUUUGGGGCAUUUCACUUUUUAAGGUUUCCUGACUGCCCUCCAAUGAUGCGCCAGGGGGGCUCCUGGCACUGACUGCGCCCUCUUCACUGCGCUGUAGGCAGAGAAUCACACGUUUCAUGCAUUUCGAGAAAGUGCUGUCGCCUAUUUCUGUGACUGCUAGCAAGUGGGAGCAAACCAGGGGGCCGCUGUCGCUUGCCCCGCUGCUCUCGGACUGGCCAUCUGGCUCCAUCGAGCAACUCCGUCAGCCUCCAUCGCUCUGUGUGUGGUGGCUUCAGGACUCGCUGAUAUUCUAUUAAAAACGUACCUGGCGGCUCCUGAGCAGACGUGUCUCGGUGUCUGAGCUGAGUGUAGGAUGCGGUCACCGGCCACAGGGAGCGUGGACUUCGGGAGUCACUGUUGCUGCCUGUGGUUCACAAACAGCACUGUGGCCGCCGUCCGAGUCUUGCCAGAACGUUCCGGGCAUCACCUGGGCAGCACAGCCUCUCCAGGGUCACCCUUGGAGCCGCCACACCCAGAGGCAGGCCUGUCCGGAUGGUGCACACCCCUCCUGGAGUUUGUAGCAAACCCCACCACCUCCGUGGUCACCAACAGGCCAGAAAAGAGGCACCUCCGAGUCCUCCCUCACGGAGCGCCUGGGGGCGAAGGCUGGCUGCUCAGAGCUGCUCCCGGGAUUCCCGCUAGAUGCAGCCAAGGGGCACAGGAAGGGGGACAGGAUGGGACGUGGACCCUGCAACGUCAGGAAGCCACGCGGGGUACACAAGUGUCCAGGGCGAGCUGAGAGCGUGGGUAUUACUGGGCCCACAGCCAGCACAGCGGGUCCGACCACCACCGCUCCCCGAGUGCUCACAUGUGCCCGGCAGGGGCUGAGGGCUUCCCAGAGUAAUGCACUGUGACCUGGGAGUGUGCCACACUCCCCUCCAGGCAGGUAAGAAAGCUUUGCCAGGUUCUGGGCUUCUGCCCCACAGGCGGAGGCUUACGUCGUGGCCCUCUCUCACAGCCUGGAGGCGGGAAUCCGAGACCCAGGGCUGCGCUUCCCCCGAGGCCCUUCCAGCUCCCGGCGGCCGCAGCAUCCCUGGCUCACAGCCACGGCACCCCCCUUCCUGACUCCACCUUCACGGGGCCCCUCCUCUGGGCGUCUCCUCGCCCAGAAGGAUACGGUCACAGGGCUGAGGGCCACACAGAUAAUCCUGGGUGACCCAUCUCGAGACUGUGCACCGAGUCACACCUGCAAGAGUCCUUUCUCCAGAUCAAGUCAAGCAUGCAGGUUCCAGGGCUCCGGACACACACAUCUCUUUGGGGACCCGUUCAACCUGCCACAGCAACCUGGAGAGAUCACCCAGCUUGUAUAGGACAACACAGCCCCUAAAGUGGACAGACGGCUCCUGUCCCAACCCCCCGCCACCCAGCCUGACUGUCGCCUUCCCCCAGAUCAGCGUGGACAGGCCGGCUCGAGCGGCCGCUGAGGACAGAGGCACUGUCCUCCCAGCACAGGGACCCAGCGGCCACAGCAGUCCGAGGCUCAGAGCAGCAUGAUGGGCGCUGGCUGAGGGUCAGCCGGGCAUCCUGUGUCCGAGUGGAGACUGCGCGGCCCUCAGGGGUGGGGCGGGAGGACAGCAGGCAAUACAGGGCCCGCAGCGCGCUGGCAGGCUCAGGCCUGAGACGCAGCAAGCGUCUAUCCUUUCCUUGUGAAAGUCUGUUCAUCUACAUCUGAGACCAAUUUGCUUGAAACUACAGAAUACCUGUCACUUUGCUUCCUGGCACAGGAGUCAGAUGUUUGCAGGGAAAAGUACCGACAGCUACAUGCUCUUGGUGGUGUAAUAGUUAGACGUGUCACUCUGCAUCUCGGCGAAAGGCAGCGUUUAAGUCAACGCGGGUUCUCAGCCUGGCACGAAGCCGCCUGGCCUGGAGCUGGUGCCGAGCCCCUCGGGUACGUGGGCAGAGCUGCGCCCCGUGGCUCUGAAUGCAGCCUGGGGCGUUGUGCUUGGUAACUGGGUCACUCUGAGUCCAUAGGUGAGGACACAGACGCCAGGACUCCCUGAGGCUGGUGGGGGCUGUGCUUCUCCCCAGGCUCCGGACAGGAAAGCCAUGCGCUUCCUACUGUCUGGGCAGGGGUUCGAUGGCUCAGGUGGAACAUCAUGUAUCUGGUUCUGGAGGCAGGCGGGUGAGGCUGGGGUGCCCUUUCUGGGGGCAGGCGGGUGAGGCUGGGUGCCCUGUUGUGGGGGCAGGCGGGUGAGGCUGGGUGCCCUUUCUGGGGGCAGGCGGGUGAGGCUGGGUGCCCUGUUGUGGGAGCAGGCGGGUGAGGCUGGGUGCCCUUUCUGGGGGCAGGCGGGUGAGGCUGGGUGCCCUGUUCUGGGGGCAGGCGGUGAGGAUGGCACCCUGACUCUCCUCCCGUCUCAGGAGAGCGGAAGGAAAGACUCUGUGACUGCCAGAUGCACACAGCACUUCUCUGUUCCCAGGGACUCUACAGAUUAAAAGGCUUGGUACGGCUCUUGUCAUAAAAUUACCUGCAGUUUAUUCCAACAAAAUUACAAGUUUUUGAACUGUCCCCUAGGUUUAAGUAGUUGCCGUCUGGCGAGGGGUGACCCUUGGCCACCCCUGCUCAGGCUCCUCCUCUGCUCACGAGAAAAGCAGUGGGCGACAGGGUCCCGCCAGGGAAAGCCACACGGCUGGCCUACCUGUCGUUAACAUCCUCCACGGUGGAAGCUUCCUUUUCACCAAACGCAGCGAGGAAAACCAGAAAAUGCCUCCAACCUCAUCAGAUGCAGCCUCAGUCGGGGGAAUUUCGGCCCUUCCGCCCCGACGUCUGGGCCUCCGCCGUGUCUUCUCACGUGUUCUUGGCUGCUGGGCCUUCGCACACCUGCUGUGCUAGCCCCGGACCGUCAGGCCAGGUUGCACGUCCCUCCUCCUGGGCCUUGAGGAGGCCCUGGAGCCAGGACGAGCUCCAGCGGAUGCCCAUGGGGUCACCACGGGUCACCAGUGCCCUGACCUCGCUCUGUCAGGUUUUGUCACCCCUCCUGGCCCUGGAUUACGUCCCGGGAGAUGGCCAGGGCUGGCCUUUCUCCUUGGGAGGGGUGUUGCGAACUGUCCCUGCCCCAGUCAUGGACUCAGUGGGACAGGACACAGGAGCAGCUGAUUCUGGCAGCCAGAAGCCUGGCUGCUUUGCCAGGCCCUAGACUCUGGGGACCUCGGGAGGAGGAUCCCACACAUGUACUCACUCUGCUCACGGGGCUGGGGGACGGGAAUCCAAGUUCAGCAGAGUCUGAGACUCAGGUUUCUGCACCUCUAUCCUGGGGCGAGACCCCCUUCUUUGGGCCACUGGAGACAUGGGGGUGUCUGGAGAUGCCCCCAAGCAGCAGAGCGUCCCCAGAGCCCUGGGACCAAAUCCACCUGCUGGGGGCCUCAGCUCGGCUGCAUACCUGCUCCUGUGUUUCCUGCCAGAAGUCUCACAUGUGCAUCCACGUCGCCUUGUUGCCAUGGCAAUCACAACAUGCAAAAGCAAUACUUUCUACACAGUAUCACAUGUUGCUUAAUGUUUGGACACUGAUAUUUUCUCCAGCUGGGUCUUUCUUAAUUUAAGUCAACAAACCAGUCUGGAGGCACACAUGCUGCUGCGUUUGGGGACUAAACAAGAGCGAGGGGUGACGGCAGGACUGAAGAACCCGGGUGUGCGGCGGUGUGUGCGCCAGGCCACGGCCCUACCUGAGAAACAAGGAAAGGGGCCAAGGUCCCCAGCCCUGCUCUGCCCUGGCCUCCCUCCCCCUCCCCCCGGAACAGCGUGGAGGCACAGACACACACCCGAUGGGCAGGCCUCGAUGGCCCCCUGGGGCCGGCAGAGUGACAGCCUCCCUGGAGCAGCAGCCUCUGCCCGCCCCCGCCCCCAGCGUUUGCAAUGACCACUGCCUGCAUCCUGACCCCAGCGCCAGCGGCCACCUGAGAGUCUGAACACCAGCGGCGCCCCCACCCCAGGGCAGAGGCUUGAAACAAGCUGCUGAGUGGGGGGGUCUCUGAAGGCACCAACGGCACCAGCGUCGCGCUUUUCAGGAUCAACCCAACUGCUGUCCACGUGGAAUUUUUUCGAGUGGUUUUUGCAGCGAAAAAAACAUUAACGAGGAACUUGAAAGGCUUGUUACCGACAUGCUUUCAUCCACCCAGGCGCCGUCCUCGCCGCCUAGCGUCUCGUCCUUGUCCUCGUCCCCCGCGGCCCUGCCGGCACAGAUCCUGUCCAGCCCGGCCUGGGUGAUGGAGGCCAGACUCUCUCCAUCUGUCCGCACCUGGAGCCACGCGGUCCGGGACUCUGGGCGGCUGCCCCCCGCCACUUAGAGACCUGGGUACCUGCAAUUUCUCUAGGCUCCGGCCUGGCUCUCCACCGCCACCCCGUUUCAGGCAGGCAGACAGACACUGCUUGGCCGAGCUCCAUUUCAACCUCCACGCCUUUCAAAGGGAUACGAGGCAAAACGGAUGUGAACUUCAGCUCCCUCCACACCAGCUUCAAUCCUAUGUCCGUGAACAAGAAAGGAAAAACCUGCCUGGGCCGAGCGAGGCCAAGCACGGUUCAUUCUUCCCCCAGGGCCCCCCGCCGCCCUCCCCAUGCCUGGCAGUCAGGAGGCAGCCAGAAGACCCACGCGCAGAUGAGGCACGCGGGUGCCGUGCAUGUUGCUGCCCGGAGGCCGCAGGGAAGGGAUAGCUUCCCGACCGGUCUGGGAAUGUCUUUUGAGCAACAUAAAGCAAGUUCCUGUUGUUUUGGUGUGUCUCAAGUUAAGACAAUUCUGUUGUCAUUUCUGCGUCUGCCUACGUGCAGCCUGAAACCAGAACCGCGCCAAGAUCUCCAAGGCUCUGCGGGGAAGGGGACAGCCCUCACACCAACGUCCCUCCACGUAACAGUGGCUGGGGCUCCAGCAGGCACUGCUGCCUGUGGCCACACCAGCAGCGCAGGUGGGCCUGCAGGAGCCGAGGACCCCGGGGGACACGUCCUGCGAGGCCAGGACGGCCUGUGUUUGGGGCACCUCCCACCAGCUCCUCCGAGCGCGCGGCACCCUCACCCCACAGGCACCGCCUGGUCCCACGGCUCCUUCCUAAAGGGCCGAGGCCAACCCCCGACGGCUCUCCAUCCCGGGGUGCAACUGGAGGAAGCACAGCUGUUCACCACGGGCUAAAAGCAGAAAUGAUGUCGGUGUAAGAACACGUCCCCUGAACACGCGGGCCCCUCGGAAGUAACAAACUGGGUGCAGGACGGAGACCUGGGACCUAGGUGAGAACGGGCAUCCAGGGGCUGGGGCUGGAGACCACGCCCGACCUCUCGGCCGUGGUCGCCCUGCACCAGGGGUGCUGCGGUUUGUUCCUGGGGUGUCAGUGGACACGAUGCAACGUCCCGACUCAGUCACCUCCAGGGGAGGCCGCCCUUCCUCAGACUCGGGCCCUGACUGCUGUGUUCCCAGACCUGCGGCAGCCCUGGGCACCUGUGCUACUGCAGGGACAGCCUCCCUGCCUCGGCGCUGCAUCGUUUUCUGCAUCCCUCUGCAGCUGCGGGCUGGCCAGUCUGGGGCGUUUAACUGGACAGUCGUCCCCUUGACCGGGAGGAGAACAGGACGGCUCCUGCGCGGCCAAGGGCAGCUAUUUCAUUAUAAAUG
rnacentral:lncRNA from 1 species